AAUAAGUGCAGUUUUAGCACUGUUCAUAUUCAACGUUUGACCGCUCGUCUUAUUUGAAAAACAAUUAUAAUUAGUAUUUUUAUUGUUGUUAGAUGAUAAUACAUGAAUAGUAUUUAUGUGUGACUAAUAUUUUUAUUUUUGUUCAUAAAAUUUUUAAAUACGAAUGGUCAAAAUACUGAACACGAAUAUCUAUAGCUAUAUUUAUU
rfam:Oryza barthii chromosome 1, whole genome shotgun sequence.